rnacentral:rRNA from 1 species
GACGAACGCUGGCGGCGUGCUUAACACAUGCAAGUCGAGCGGUAAGGCCCUCUCGGGGGUACGACGAGCGGCGAACGGGUGAGUAACACGUGGGUGACCUGCCCUCAGCUCUGGGAUAAGCCUGGGAAACCGGGUCUAAUACUGGAUAUGACUCCAUGACGCAUGUUGUGGGGUGGAAAGCCUUGUGCGGCUGAGGAUGGGCCCGCGGCCUAUCAGCUUGUUGGUGGGGUGAUGGCCUACCAAGGCGACGACGGGUAGCCGGCCUGAGAGGGCGACCGGCCACACUGGGACUGAGACACGGCCCAGACUCCUACGGGAGGCAGCAGUGGGGAAUCUUGCGCAAUGGGCGAAAGCCUGACGCAGCGACGCCGCGUGAGGGAUGACGGCCUGGUGUAACUACUUCUA